rnacentral:rRNA from 1 species
UACGGAGGAUGCAAGCGUUAUCCGGAAUGAUUGGGCGUAAAGCGUCCGCAGGUGGCAAUGUAAGUCUGCUGUCAAAGCGUCUGGCUCAACCAGAUAAAGGCAGUGGAAACUACAUAGCUAGAGUAAGGUAGGGGUAGAGGGAAUUCCUGGUGUAGCGGUGAAAUGCGCAGAUAUCAGGAGGAACACCUAUUGCGAAGGCAGCUCGCUGGGACGUAACUGACGCUGAGACGCGAAAGCGUGGGGAGCAAACAGG